rnacentral:rRNA from 1 species
CAGCCCUAAACGAUGCGCGUUAGGUGUAUCGGUGACCACGAGUCACCGAGGUGCCGAAGGGAAACCGUGAAACGUGCCGCCUGGGAAGUACGGUCGCAAGGCUGAAACUUAAAGGAAUUGGCGGGGGAGCACCACAACGGGUGGAGCUUGCGGUUUAAUUGGAUUCAACGCUGGAAAUCUUACCGGGACCGACAGCAACAUGAAGGCCAGGCUGAAGACUUUGCCGGAUUAGCUGAGAGGAGGUGCAUGGCGUAGUCGUG